UACGGAGGGUGCGAGCGUUGUCCGGAAUCAUUGGGCGUAAAGGGCGCGUAGGUGGCCCGGUCAGUCUUUGGUGAAAGCGCGGGGCUCAACCCUGCGUCGGCCAGGGAUACUGCCGCGGCUCGAGCACUGUAGAGGCAGGCGGAAUUCCGGGUGUAGCGGUGAAAUGCGUAGAGAUCCGGAGGAACACCAGUGGCGAAGGCGACACGCUGGGCCGUACCUGACACUGAUGCGCGACAGCAUGGGGAGCAAACAGG
rnacentral:rRNA from 1 species